AGUGAACGCUGGCGGUAGGCCUAACACAUGCAAGUCGAACGGCAGCACAGUAAGAGCUUGCUCUUACGGGUGGCGAGUGGCGGACGGGUGAGGAAUACAUCGGAAUCUACUUUUUCGUGGGGGAUAACGUAGGGAAACUUACGCUAAUACCGCAUACGACCUACGGGUGAAAGCAGGGGAUCUUCGGACCUUGCGCGAUUGAAUGAGCCGAUGUCGGAUUAGCUAGUUGGCGGGGUAAAGGCCCACCAAGGCGACGAUCCGUAGCUGGUCUGAGAGGAUGAUCAGCCACACUGGAACUGAGACACGGUCCAGACUCCUACGGGAGGCAGCAGUGGGGAAUAUUGGACAAUGGGCGCAAGACUGAUCAAGCCAUACCGCGUGGGUGAAGAAGGCCUUCGGGUUGUAAAGCCCUUUUGUUGGGAAAGAAAAGCAGCAGGUUAAUACCCCGCUGUUCUGACGGUACCCAAAGAAUAAGCACCGGCUAACUUCGUG
rnacentral:rRNA from 1 species